CCCUUAGAUGUUCUGGGCCGCACGCGCGCUACACUGAUGCAUUCAACGAGCCUAUCCUUGACCGACAGGUCCGGGUAAUCUUUGAAUCUGCAUCGUGACGGGGAUAGAUUAUUGCAAUUAUUAACCUUCAACGAGGAAUGCCUAGUAGGCGCAAGUCAUCAGCUUGCGUCGAUUACGUCCCUGCCCUUUGUACACACCGCCCGUCGCUCCUACCGAUUGGGUGUGCUGGUGAAAUGUUCGGAUCGGCCGUUUGUCGCGGUUUCCGCGUCAUGUGGCUGAGAAGUUCAUUAAACCCUCCCACCUAGAGGAAGGAGAAGUCGUAACA
rnacentral:rRNA from 1 species